CCUACGGGAGCAGCAGUGAGGAAUAUUGGUCAAUGGGCGAGAGCCUGAACCAGCCAAGUAGCGUGCAGGAUGACUGCCCUAUGGGUUGUAAACUGCUUUUAUAGGGGAAUAAAGUGAGGAACGUGUUCCUUUUUGUAUGUACCCUAUGAAUAAGGACCGGCUAAUUCCGUGCCAGCAGCCGCGGUAAU
rnacentral:rRNA from 1 species